AAGUAAAGAAGUAAUUAAUUACAUUUAGUUUCGACCUAAAAAUAAGAGAAAUAUUCUCCAUACUUU
rnacentral:tRNA from 1 species